rnacentral:rRNA from 1 species
UACGUAGGGGGCUAGCGUUGUCCGGAAUCAUUGGGCGUAAAGCGCGUGUAGGCGGUUCGGUAAGUCCGCUGUGAAAGUCGGGGGCUCAACCCUCGAAAGCCGGUGGAUACUGUCGGGCUUGAGUACGGAAGAGGCGAGUGGAAUUCCUGGUGUAGCGGUGAAAUGCGCAGAUAUCAGGAGGAACACCAAUUGCGAAGGCAGCUCGCUGGGACGUUACUGACGCUGAGACGCGAAAGCGUGGGGAGCAAACAGG